UAGUUGGAGACUUGUGCCGAGCCCUGC
rnacentral:piRNA from 1 species